rnacentral:rRNA from 1 species
UACGUAGGUGGCAAGCGUUGUCCGGAAUUAUUGGGCGUAAAGCGCGCGCAGGCGGUCCUUUAAGUCUGAUGUGAAAGCCCACGGCUCAACCGUGGAGGGUCAUUGGAAACUGGGGGACUUGAGUGCAGAAGAGGAAAGCGGAAUUCCACGUGUAGCGGUGAAAUGCGUAGAGAUCCGGAAGAACACCAGUGGCGAAGGCGGCCCGCUGGGCAGUGGCUGACGCUGAGGCGCGACAGCGUGGGGAGCAAACAGG